GAUGAAGAACGCAUCGAAAUGCGAUAAGUAAUGUGAAUUGCAGAAUUCAGUGAAUCAUCGAAUCUUUGAACGCACCUUGCGCCCUUUGGCUAUUCUGAAGGGCAUGCCUGUUUGAGUAUCAUGAACACCUCAACUCUCAUGGUUUGCCAUGAUGAGCUUGGACUUUGGGGGUCUUGCUGGCCUACGGUCAGCUCCUCUCAAAUGAAUCAGCUUGCCAGUGUUUGGUAGAGUCGCAGGUGUGAUAACUAUCUACGCUUGUGGUUUUCUGCCAGAUAACCUUCAGUGAUGGAGGUUCGCUGGAGCUUAUAAAUGUCUCUCCCCAGUGAGGACAGCUUUUUGAACGUUUGAUCUCAAAUCAGGUAGGACUACCCGCUGAACUUAAGCAUAUCAAUAAGCGGAGGA
rnacentral:misc_RNA from 1 species